GGUAUGUUUAAGUAAUAACACCGUUUUAAAAUUUCUUUUAUCAUUAACCUAAAUGUAAUUUUCUAGUCUGAAACACCAAAGAAAAACUUAGUCCAAAAUUAAUUCUCACUAUCGUUGCAUUAGUGUUUUAACAACUGAUAAACCAAAAUACACUUUCCUACAUUGGUUUUAAGUGCAAAUUAAAACAACAUUGUAGCUAAUUUGAAAUUCCUUUACAGAUAAAACGGUGGCUACCAACACGAAAGGGUAGAAAACCAUCCGAAUAACGAAGACCUCUAUACUGUAGUUAACACAACUGUUCUAAAGGUCUAUGUUAGUUGGAUGCAUAAAUCUAACACGCUUCCGUAGUGAAAAUAUCGUAAAGCGCCAUCUAUUAGCAUGGAUCUGGGUUAAGGCGACUGGAAACGGACCACAGAUUGUUUAGUGGCGGACGAAAUCUCUAGCAAAAGGCUAGUCAAAGCUACAUAGUGGGACCACAGGGAGAGUGAGUGCGGAAAGUUCCAGUGUGUUGCUUGGAGGUCCCGGAACCUUCGUCUAUGUCACUAGAGGAUGGCUACCGAGGGAGUUUUGGUGGGUUAAAUCCUACAUAACCCUGCCUUUCCAGAAGGCAAGGUAUCUUUUGAAGAUUUCCUCCCCGACAAUCAAAAAAAAGAUUGUUACUGUUGCUGUUGCAUGAUUUCACACACUGGUCGAUGCGAGGGCGCAUAAGACGUUGCGCUGACUGAUUUUAGGGGCGGUCUUGUACGUUGAGUGGGAGAAACGCGGAUCGGUUUCGCAGCCCAGCAAAAAGCGCUGUUUAGCGAACAGUU